GCAACAAAUGCCCUGCUUCCAGGAAAAGCCUCUAAGCAUCAGGUAACACGAAAUCGUACCCCAAACCGACACAGGUGGUCAGGUAGAGAAUACCAAGGCGCUUGAGAGAACUCGGGUGAAGGAACUAGGCAAAAUGGUGCCGUAACUUCGGGAGAAGGCACGCUGACACGUAGGUGAAGUGAUUUACUCAUGGAGCUGAAGUCAGUCGAAGAUACCAGCUGGCUGCAACUGUUUAUUAAAAACACAGCACUGUGCAAACACGAAAGUGGACGUAUACGGUGUGACGCCUGCCCGGUGCCGGAAGGUUAAUUGAUGGGGUCAGCGCAAGCGAAGCUCCUGAUCGAAGCCCCGGUAAACGGCGGCCGUAACUAUAACGGUCCUAAGGUAGCGAAAUUCCUUGUCGGGUAAGUUCCGACCUGCACGAAUGGCGUAAUGAUGGCCAGGCUGUCUCCACCCGAGACUCAGUGAAAUUGAACUCGCUGUGAAGAUGCAGUGUACCCGCGGCAAGACGGAAAGACCCCGUGAACCUUUACUAUAGCUUGACACUGAACAUUGAGCCUUGAUGUGUAGGAUAGGUGGGAGGCUUUGAAGUGUGGACGCCAGUCUGCAUGGAGCCGACCUUGAAAUACCACCCUUUAAUGUUUGAUGUUCUAACGUGGACCCGUAAUCCGGGUUGCGGACAGUGUCUGGUGGGUAGUUUGACUGGGGCGGUCUCCUCCUAAAGAGUAACGGAGGAGCACGAAGGUUGGCUAAUCCUGGUCGGACAUCAGGAGGUUAGUGCAAUGGCAUAAGCCAGCUUGACUGCGAGCGUGACGGCGCGAGCAGGUGCGAAAGCAGGUCAUAGUGAUCCGGUGGUUCUGAAUGGAAGGGCCAUCGCUCAACGGAUAAAAGGUACUCCGGGGAUAACAGGCUGAUACCGCCCAAGAGUUCAUAUCGACGGCGGUGUUUGGCACCUCGAUGUCGGCUCAUCACAUCCUGGGGCUGAAGUAGGUCCCAAGGGUAUGGCUGUUCGCCAUUUAAAGUGGUACGCGAGCUGGGUUUAGAACGUCGUGAGACAGUUCGGUCCCUAUCUGCCGUGGGCGCUGGAGAACUGAGGGGGGCUGCUCCUAGUACGAGAGGACCGGAGUGGACGCAUCACUGGUGUUCGG
rnacentral:rRNA from 1 species